AACGAACGCUGGCGGCAGGCUUAACACAUGCAAGUCGAACGCAUCGCAAGAUGAGUGGCAGACGGGUGAGUAACGCGUGGGAACAUACCCUUUUCUCCGGAAUAGCUCUGGGGAACUGGAAUUAAUACCGUAUACGCCCAACGGGGGAAAGAUUUAUCGGGGAAGGAUUGGCCCGCGUUGGAUUAGCUAGUUGGUGGGGUAAAGGCCUACCAAGGCGACGAUCCAUAGCUGGUCUGAGAGGAUGAUCAGCCACAUUGGGACUGAGACACGGCCCAAACUCCUACGGGAGGCAGCAGUGGGGAAUAUUGGACAAUGGGCGCAAGCCUGAUCCAGCCAUGCCGCGUGAGUGAUGAAGGCCUUAGGGUUGUAAAGCUCUUUCACCGAUGAAGAUAAUGACGGUAGUCGGAGAAGAAGCCCCGGCUAACUCUGUGCCAGCAGCCGCCGUAACAC
rnacentral:rRNA from 1 species